AAUCUGUGUUGAGGGCAUCUCUGCAAAAGAUCCUUGAAGCGCUCCCACAUCUCAAACAAUGUUUCCAAUUCCAUCUGCAUAAAUGACGAUAUCUCAUUUCAAAGCUU